rnacentral:rRNA from 1 species
AUUGAACGCUGGCGGCAGGCUUAACACAUGCAAGUCGAGCGGAGCGAGGGUGCUUGCACCUUAGCUUAGCGGCGGACGGGUGAGUAAUGCUUAGGAAUCUGCCUAUUAGUGGGGGACAACAUCUCGAAAGGGAUGCUAAUACCGCAUACGUCCUACGGGAGAAAGCAGGGGAUCACUUGUGACCUUGCGCUAAUAGAUGAGCCUAAGUCGGAUUAGCUAGUUGGUGGGGUAAAGGCCUACCAAGGCGAGGAUCUGUAGCGGGUCUGAGAGGAUGAUCCGCCACACUGGGACUGAGACACGGCCCAGACUCCUACGGGAGGCAGCAGUGGGGAAUAUUGGACAAUGGGGGGAACCCUGAUCCAGCCAUGCCGCGUGUGCGAAGAAGGCCUUAUGGUUGUAAAGCACUUUAAGCGAGGAGGAGGCUCAUUUGGUUAAUACCCAAGAUGAGUGGACGUUACUCGCAGAAUAAGCACCGGCUAACUCUGUGCCAGCAGCCGCCGUAA